rnacentral:lncRNA from 1 species
GCUUUUCAUACUUAGUAAGAAGUCGUGUCAAAGAAAAUGACGUCGAAAACUUUUAUUGUCUUCGGUCUCCUUUUUACGAGUCUAUUCAUCAUGUCAGCUACUGGAGACGAUACAUCUCAAGAAAAUAAAAAGGGUUAGCAUUGAAAUCCAUCAUGAUUUUUUUCUAUAAUUAUUAUGAUGUGAAAAUAAAUUAUCUAGCUUUUAUGAUGAUUGAAAUAUAUUUCAAGUUUUAUAGCUUUUAUAACGAAUUAUGUUUGUCGAUUAUUUAUAUGCAGAUGUCGCUUCUGAUAAAGAUCAUUAUGGUGGUGGAUGGGGUGGAGGCGGAUGGGGUGGACGAGGACCUUGUAAGUGGGGUUGCUGCGGUUAUCAUCAGUGGGCAGGGUGCAAUUGCUGCCAUAGUCCUCAAGAAGCAAUAGCCUAUAUGAAACAAAAUGAAGCAACAAUCCGACCUUAACUCUUUGACAUGCCUAUGUAAUAAAAUGAACAUUGAUGUUCAUACAAAUCAUAUACGAGGUUUAUGUAAUACUAGGAAAAGAUGAAAUAAUGUGCAGGAGUUUAACUCUAUAUACAUGGAGUUCUAAGCAUCUUGUGGUAUUGUUAGUGUAAUGUUUCUUUGUAAUAAAAAUGAGUCUCAUUUGGGACGUUAUCUAAAA